rnacentral:ncRNA from 1 species
UUUAUUAGGGGUGCCGAAAGGCUGAGAUUAUACCCUUUGAACCUGAUCCGGUUAAUACCGGCGUAGUGAAAA